UUCCAUGUGUAGCGGUGAAAUGCGUAGAUAUAUGGAGGAACACCAGUGGCGAAAGCGGCUNUCUGGUCUGUCACUGACGCUGAGGCUCGAAAGCGUGGGUAGCGAACAGGAUUAGAUACCCUGGUAGUCCACGCCGUAAACGAUGAGUGCUAGGUGUUAGGCCCUUUCCGGGGCUUAGUGCCGGAGCUAACGCAAUAAGCACUCCGCCUGGGGAGUACGACCGCAAGGUUGAAACUCAAAGGAAUUGACGGGGGCCCGCACAAGCGGUGGAGCAUGUGGUUUAAUUCGAAGCAACGCGAAGAACCUUACCAGGUCUUGACAUCCUGAUGCUAUUCUUAGAGAUAGGAAGUUACUUCGGUACAUCGGAGACAGGUGGUGCAUGGUUGUCGUCAGCUCGUGUCGUGAGAUGUUGGGUUAAGUCCCGCAACGAGCGCAACCCUUAUUGUUAGUUGCCAUCAUUAAGUUGGGCACUCUAGCGAGACUGCCGGUAAUAAACCGGAGGAAGGUGGGGAUGACGUCAAAUCAUCAUGCCCCUUAUGACCUGGGCUACACACGUGCUACAAUGGUCGGUACAACGAGUUGCGAGCCGGUGACGGCAAGCUAAUCUCUGAAAGCCGAUCUCAGUUUGGAUUGGAGGCUGCAACUCGCCUCCAUGAAGUCGGAAUCGCUAGUAAUCGCGGAUCAGCACGCCGCGGUGAAUACGUUCCCGGGCCUUGUACACACCGCCCGUCACACCACGAGAGUUUGUAACACCCGAAGUCGGUGAGGUAACCUUUUAGGGGCCAGC
rnacentral:rRNA from 1 species